CACACAGUGGGCUUCAACUCCGGAUCAAGGAGUAAAAUUACCUCUGAGCUGCAGUGAGACGGUACCCCAGGGCGGGAUUAGGGUUACUGCUGACACAGGGUGGGAUGCUGCAGAGCUGCCCUCAGUCCUGUGUUGGCCUUUGGAGAAAUUGGGCAGUUGUCUCUGAGCAGGAAAGUGGAGAGCAACAACAAAAAUUCCUUAUGUGCAUAACUCAGCGCAGAGCUCUGAACCACACUGCUCUUUUGUUUUCAAGUGGUAAGGCAUUAAAAUCGGGUUGUUUUGUUUUUUUAAUGGCUAAAUUUAAAUAAAACUUCCCUGUAAGAGGAACAAAAAAAUGGCCAUAAAACAAUGGAUCCUUGCAUUUCUCAGCUGAGAAUCCCCCGCGGGAGCAAUGGUCACCUCUGCUGUCACAAAACCGCUGCAGCAUCACAUGCAAAAUUCUGCAGAGCACAGGGAUCAACCCAGGCAGCAGCCAGCAAAAGGCAUCACCCAACUCCUUUGCACACCUUAUUUCUGUUGCAUUCAUAGCAGGUCAACUUUUGGCAUUUCUCAGAUCCCUUUUGCUCUCUGCAUCUUGCUUUUAACCCAGCUAUCCGGGUUUGGCACAGCCCUGACACACAGCGUCACAUCUCUCCAAGGCAAUGCAAGGUGGUGAUGGCCACAGCCAGCCCUGCACUGGCCCUGCACUGGCUGUGGUCUUCUUCCUUUUAAUGCUCCAAAACUCAGCCCCAGGAUUGGGAACGCUUACGGGACUGGGAAUGAUUAGAGCUCAUUUGAUGACCCCGAGGACUUUGCAUGUCCGCACAGAAGGCAAAGCGUAGGGAUGGGGCCGCGCCGGUGACCUCCCAGCAGAGCCAUUCCUACAGCCAGGCAGGAAUUUUAUUUUACUUUCUUUUUAAACUGUUUCUCACUUGGAAAACACCAAUUGGUUGAAACUUCAACUUUACGCAGGAUUAUAGAAAUGUAGGUCAGGAAGAAAGCAUCCAAGUGAAAAGCUCCUUGUUCCUCACCCUCCCCAGCACCCCAGCUUGCUGUUGGACGCAGGGCUUUGUACCACUUCUGUGUAUUUCCCAGUGAUUCCAGGUGAUUUCCAUGCCCAUAUGGCCGGGUACCAACAGAGCCCAAGCAGCAACAUCUUCCUUUCAUUGCUGCUCAACAGCAUAGGUGCACAAAGACAGAUUUCUAGACAAAAUCCACUUUCCAGAAUGGAUGAUUUACCCAUGAGAGGAGCCCCGGCUGCCCCCAGCCCUCUCCCCACUGCUGCCCACCAGAGCCAGGGAACCACUGAUCCCUUUUCAACACCUCCCAGCACUGUAGCAGUAAUUUAUGGGGUUCAUUUCGGCGCUGUGCUCAGCGCCCACCUCGCAGGCACCCGCAGCAGGCACUGAGCUCACCGCAGCGCAACACGGCCACGCUCUGCAGCUUUAUGUUUGUUUGCUUUAAUUGAGAAAGGACCGGGGGAAAAGAAAAAAAAAAAAGUCUGAAAAAAGAAAAAAAAAAAUCAACAAAAAACCUUCUUUCAACCCCCUGGUUUCAUUUUUCAGGUGCCUUGAUUUAUUAAUCUGCCCGUUCCCAUUUAAUAGGCUCUCCUUGCCGGAGCACCAGCGCAACCCCAGGCCUGCAGCUGCCAACCCAUCCCCAGCCCUGCACACCCCUGCCUGGCAGGCAGCUCCCAACUCUCUGCUCCAGUUCGCAGCAUGCUCACAGUGCAGGCAGAUGUCAAGUUUCCAAGAAAGAUAUUUUCAUGUAAUACUGGGAGGAUCACAGGCACUAAAUAUGAUUUCAUUUUUAAAGCCACACACUCUUUGGCAUGGUUUUAAAACCCAUCCUCUGUCCUCAGAGAGGAAAUACCAUCAGUGCUCCAAGAAACUCAAACAGGUGAUCUUCACCCAUAAUGCUCCAAGAAACCCAAACAAGGGAUCUUCACCCUACGCUCACAAGCAUCACGACAAACCCCACUGAAUGUGCCACAGCAUCACACCCACUUUCUCCUAUGCACAGCCACAUGGAGCUGAGUUUGAUGUUCUGAUUCAAGGCAUGAGACCAUCACGAGCAAACAUCCCCCAACAACCAAUUAUAGCCCUUGGGUGCCCCCAUCUGCCCAGCCUUUCUCCCACCACCCUCCUCUUUCCCACUUCCCAUGCCUUGGGCACAAUCCAGGGCACAGUGCCCAUAAGGAGAACUCCCAGAGGAUGAGAUCAACAUCUCAUUUAAUUAAAUUUUGCCUUCUAGAUCAAGUAAAGAGCACUCAGCCCAGCCCCAGCAUACUGGGUUUGGACUCCUAGGGAGGACACAGAUGCUGGAGGUUGAUCCAAUUUCCAGGAGGGCUCUCGGAUGAGACUGAAAACUUUGGGUCCACAUGCAUUAUAGGUGCUGAUCCACAACCCAAUAACCCAUCCCAUGGGAAAGACUCAAUGAAACAAAUCACAAGUGACACAGACCACAUGGUCCCAAGCCUAGAUCUGCACCAGGCAGUCCAUUUGUUACAGAUUAUCCCCCCCCACUCCCCCCUUCCACAACUGCCCAUGAAGAAGAGCCAAAAUCCCCAUGGCAAUUUGUACGACCUCGAGCAAUAAGAGUAAGCUGAAAAACUGGAAAUCCAUCCCUACCUGCAGCCCUUCACCAGGCCCUGGGACAUAAGGGACAUCUGCCAGCCCAGCUCCAGCCGUUCAAGGCUCCUUAAAGCCUUCAGUAAGGAUGUGCAGGGAAGCGGUGGAGUCACCAUCCCUGGAGAUGGUCAACCUUCACGAUCCUACAAUUCUAUGAUGAUACUAAACCCGCAGACCCCUGAGCAGCAGAGGGGACACAGACAGGAGCAAAUCCCCCUGGACAUGACCAUCACCACAAGGCCCACAGCCACCUUGAGGUCCCAUUGCUGCACCCCACAGGUGCUCCCCCUGCCCACUGGCGCAACUACACUGGCUUAGAGUAGAGCUGCUCACAGCCACGUUUUUCAUCAGCACAGCAAGCAGGCUUGGCCUCUCAACACCCAGAGCUCUUUUAAAUAAUGUACAUAUAUAUCAGUCUAGCUAUGCUGCUGGCUGGGCCCCAGAUGACUGCGACCAGGGCCAAUCCCCAGGAUAAACAUAGCCUACCUGGGUUUAUAAGUGCCAGAAGCAUGUAGGCACCAUGCGUGAUCUCUUAUAUAAACAGCACUGCAAAAACAGCCCUGAGCACUGUAGGAACACUUGUAGUACGCACUGUACAAGAGAUGAAGUGUUUGGGAACAUUACUGCAACGUAUCCCAGGGGGAGAUGCUUCCCCCCUCUCCUGCCCCAUGCACCAGCCUUAAAGGCUCAGGGCAGCUUCUGCCUGCUGGCCCCAGGAGUGAUGCUCAGUGCCCAGAGGAUGCUGCACUGCAGCUCAGGAUGCUCUCAGCAUCACAUUUACCAGGGAAGGGAUGCACGGUACAAAUCAUGCUGGGCAGGCACGGAGCUGGGAUGCAGCGGAGCAAUCAGACUCAGAGCUCUGGGAAGGGGAAGAGCUGCAUAUAAAGCUCUGAGAUGGCCCAGAGCUAUGGGAGAUGCUGUGUCCUUACUCGUGGGACAGACACUUCCAGCUUCAGCAUCACUGAGUUUUGUGUUUUCUUCCCCAAGAGAAAACACAAAACCCACGCACAGGCAGAACAAUUCAGGCUGCACUCAUCUUUUCGCCUCGAGUUAUUUCAAAGCCCUGCACCACUCCACCCUUUCUCCUUCUAACCCCUCAUUUAUAAGGCUGGGUUAAAGAGGUGCAUGUACUGCAGGGCUCAGCCCACUCUCCCUACUCUUCCCGGCAUGGAUUUGGAGACCAAGGGCUCUCCAGAUCUAAUCUCCAAGACAAACAUCGUGGGGCUGGAGCUUGCUCCAUUUGCACUUCGAUCACAGAUAGGAAGCAGCAGCAGGCAGCUCACGCCUGUGCCCAACCCACUCCACAGCAGUGUUACGUCCCCUCAUCCCUCCAUGCACACAGUGUCAUUAAAUGUCCAGCUUUGCAAUGAAUCUGUGAUGGAUGGCUUGGGGUCAACUGAGAGCACAGAAAUCGUACAAUCACCGAGGUUGGAAAAGACCUCUAAGAUCCCCAAGCCCAUCCCACUGUGCCCAUAACCACCUCCCUCAGUGCCACAUCCCCACAGUUCUGGAGCACCUCCAGGGACGGUGACCCCACCGCUCCCCGGGCAGCUGUGCCACUGCCCCACAGUGACAGAGCCCCAUCCGAAGGGGACAGACUGCUGCAGGCACAUCCCUUCCCAGUGCCAGCAGCAGGUGCUGGCUGGGACCCGUGGGAAGAGCUCUGUCAUCUGUCCCCAGGGACCACCCUGCUGCAGCGUCACCCCAGGGCUCGGUCACAUGCCCUGUCUGGGCACAAGCUGCCCACGUCCUUGGUCUGCAGAGAGCAAACAUUGGGUUAUCUCCUGUAGGCAAACAAAUGGGCCAUUAAGCGACAGGACUCAGACAAUAUUUAAUUACCCCAAUCGUGGGAAGGGGGCGGCAGGGGGGGAGGCAGAAACUGCAGGGGAAAUUCCACCAGCAAAGAUUAAACGGAGCUGCAAACCAGAGCUGACAGGUUAACAGACAGGUAAUAUCCCAGCGGUGUUUGCUCAGCCAGGCAGGACGUGGCAUUGCCACAUCUCAAACAGCAGCAGGGCAGAGCACAGCACCAACAGCACAUCAGCCAACCUCUCAGAUCCUUCACGGACCUCCGGCACUGCGUCCCCAUAACUCAGCGGGGCCAACACAGAAGGCUUGAACACCUUUGGGCAGAACACCUACCCAAAAACCUCUUCCAGCAGCUCCCGCAUCCCCAGCAGGCUCCAUCCAUCCAUCCAUCCAUCCACGGCGCAGCAUUGAGUGUGAGCCUCUCAGGUCCGCCUCCCCUCCUCCCUUGCUGGGUCCCAUGAGCACUUUGGAAACCCCAACCCACAGGUACAAAGGACACUCCAACAGCCAUCGCAUCCACCCACCCAUCAGCGAUGGCAGUUACCAAAACCUGCAGAGAAACACAUCAGGAUGAGGGAACAGCAGCGACCUGCAGCAGGUCUGACACACAGGAAACAACCCAUCCACAGAAGGAGGAUAACCUCUUGGCAGGACAACGUGGCCAAAGCACCCCGCAGUGGGGGCAGGGAGCAGAAUCCCCCCACUGCAAGGAUGUCCUGAUGGAAUGAGAGCCUGCAGCUGCUGUGCUGAGCCCUUCUGUGGGUCUGCUCUGCUGGAAAUCACACAGACCCCAAUGUCCCUCAGCAGGGGGACCCAGCAUCUUCCUCCCUCAAAAGCAAAUAGAAAUCACUGCAGCACACAGGAUUCCUUAGGAGGGAUUCUGAUUUAGCACUUGUCCAAUGGCUCCACGCUCACACGUACUACAGCAUGUGUGCACGCACAGCACUUUAUGGGGAUACACUGGGACUGCCCCGCUUCGUUAGGGCGCUGCUGCUCUCCAGCACAAAGUCCGUAUUUGUUUCCCUGCAGGGGUGGAAAUAAAGGGGGUUUUGUAUUUUCUUCCUCUUCUCUUUGCAGGCUGGAGUGAGUUUAUUUGACACUCCAGCACUCUUUGUGCGCUGAGUGCCCGAGGAUAAAUGCUACCCUUAAGAGUUACUUGGCGUUAGACAGAGGGACCCUCUUCAGAGGAGAAUGGGGGUUUGUUGGGAUGGGGCGGGGGGGGGCACAGGGGAGGGGGCCUCCGAAGAGUGCCUAUGCAGCCCUC
ensembl:lncRNA